GCCUACGGGAGGCUGCAGUGGGGAAUCUUGCGCAAUGGGCGAAAGCCUGACGCAGCAACGCCGCGUGGGGGAUGAAGGCUCUCGGGUUGUAAACCCCUUUCAGCAGGGACGAAUCAAGACGGUACCUGCAGAAGAAGCCCCGGCUAACUACGUGCCAGCAGCCGCGGUAACACGUAGGGGGCAAGCGUUGUCCGGAUUUAUUGGGCGUAAAGAGCUCGUAGGCGGCUGAGUAAGUCGGAUGUUAAAUCCCCAGGCUCAACCUGGGACACCACCCGAUACUGCUCUGGCUAGAGUCCGGUAGGGGAGCAUGGAAUUCCUGGUGUAGCGGUGAAAUGCGCAGAUAUCAGGAGGAACACCAGCGGCGAAGGCGGUGCUCUGGGCCGGAACUGACGCUGAGGAGCGAAAGCGUGGGUAGCAAACAGGAUUAGAUACCCCUGUAGUC
rnacentral:rRNA from 1 species